rnacentral:lncRNA from 1 species
CUGUAAUCGAAGAAUGAAGAACACAACGAAGAACGAAUCUAGAGCACGAAGAACGAUGAGGAGUGGAGUUCUACCCAGAAUCCAGCGGGAGCCGCCGUGUCGGAAUCGCGUCUGUGCACGCCAGAAUCUCGUCUGUGGAUGCCGAUACUGCGUCUAUCCUUUGUGCUGUUUUUGACGACGGCAAGGGCAGAGGUUGCUCCGGCAAUCUCCACUUGCUUGACCACCGUGUAACUAUGACAGAUGGAGGUGCGACACUCGGCGAAGACGACACCAAGUGGCGGAGGUCACGGCGUUCUCUCUGGCCAGGCGACGCGACGAGAAGAACUACUGCAAUUUCUGUUCGCGUUUUCUCCUGUAGUGUUGUCGGCGCUGUGAGAGGAUUGUGCGGCAGCGGAUGAUCGGAGAGGAGGCGACGACGAUGCGCCGUAUUAGAGCAGCGUCGGCCUGGCGAAUCGACGAAGGGGCAGAUGAGGUGCCGCGCGGCAGCUGGGGUUUCAAACCCUAGCUUGUUCAAGGUCCGAGUGAUGUUUCCAGUCUGGCGGCGCAGAUUGGGUUAUGACAGAGUGCAGCGGCUCGCAUCUGUGCGGUGCGAUUCCCGAGGUGUAGCCCUAGCUGCCUCAGUGGAGAAGACGCAGGCCGGCGGGUCGGGCUUUGACCGCGUCCGGGCCUGGGCUGCUAUUUUUCGCUUGGGCCGUGUUUUCUGGGCUAGGGUGCGGACCUUAGGCCCAGCGGCUGUUCGUUGUCUUUUUUGUUUUAUUUCUUUUCUAUUUUUUUAAAUAGAUUAGAAUGGAUUCCACGAAUGGGCCACGAAGAAUUAUUUAUUUUAUUUUGUUAUUCUUCGCAUGUCGUGGAUGUUUAAAUUAUGCAAGAGCAUGUAGUGGAUGUUUAAGUGCUU